rnacentral:rRNA from 1 species
AACAGGAUUAGAUACCCUGGUAGUCCACGCCGUAAACGAUGAGUGCUAGGUGUUGGGGGGCUACGCCCCUCAGUGCCGAAGGUAACCCAUUAAGCACUCCGCCUGGGGAGUACGGCCGCAAGGCUGAAACUCAAGGGAAUUGACGGGGGCCCGCACAAGCGGUGGAGCAUGUGGUUUAAUUCGAAGCAACGCGAAGAACCUUACCAGGGCUUGACAUCCCGCUGACCCCUCCAGAGAUGGAGGUUUCCUUCGGGACAGCGGUGACAGGUGGUGCAUGGUUGUCGUCAGCUCGUGUCGUGAGAUGUUGGGUUCAGUCCCGCAACGAGCGCAACCCUUGUCGUUAGUUGCCAGCAUUUCGGAUGGGCACUCUAACGAGACAGCCGGUGAAAGCCGGAGGAAGGUGGGGAUGACGUCAAAUCAUCAUGCCCCUUAUGUCCUGGGCUACACACGUGCUACAAUGGCUGGUACAAAGGGCAGCGAACCCGCGAGGGGGAGCCAAUCCCAAAAAGCCAGUCUCAGUUCGGAUCGCAGGCUGCAACUCGCCUGCGUGAAGCCGGAAUCGCUAGUAAUCGCGGAUCAGCAUGCCGCGGUGAAUAUGUUCCCGGGCCUUGUACACACCGCCCGUCACACCACGAGAGUUUGCAACACCCGAAGUCGGUGAGGCAACCUUUUAGGAGCCAGCCGCCGAAGGUGGGGCAGAUGAUUGGGGUGAAGUCGUAACAAGGUAACC